UCACGUCUUACGACGGCAGUUUCACUAGAGUUCCCAGCGUUACCUGAUGGCAACUAGUGAUGGGGGUUGCGCUCGUUGCGGGACUUAACCCAACACCUCACGGCACGAGCUGACGACAGCCAUGCAGCACCUGUGUUACGGCUCCCUUUCGGGCACAUCUCCAUCUCUGGAGGCUUCCGUACAUGUCAAGGGUAGGUAAGGUUUUUCGCGUUAGUGACCUUUGC
rnacentral:misc_RNA from 1 species